GUGGUUGUUCAAUGUCAUAAGAGCGCAAUACCGUGAGCUACUUACAAUGAAUCCACAUAUAGAAACACUGUUGUACCCACCGACGGGACUUAAAAAGUUAUUGUGCUCCCUGUGCGAUGGUACAAUACAAC